GCUUCGGUGGUGUAGCGGUAGCACGCGAUUCUGGUACGGCGGACGCGGGUUCAACUCCCGCCUCGGGUA